rnacentral:lncRNA from 1 species
CUCUUAGACUAAGAAUUUGUCAAGACAGAUGUAAGCCAAGUGGUAAUUUAGUCAGUGUGGUGAGAUACUGUGUUGGUUUUAGCUUCAAUGCCCUCUAAAAAACACUCCACCUGAGUGGAAUUUGCUGUCUUAAGGAAAGAUUGGCUGCUGUCAACCAUGGCUUUCUCAAAAGAGCUCUCAGCAGACCUACGUUCAAAAGUGAUAGAAAUGAGCAAAUCUGGAAAUUCUUUCAAAGGUAUCUCUGAAAGCCUUAACGUUCAUGUCUCCACAGGGAGACAGACUUCCCACACACGGAGCGCUGGAGGGGCCUCCGAAUGGGACUGAUCUUCUCUAUGUGACAAGGCAGAAGACAGGUUUUGAACAAGCUGGUGGACAUACAGGAUCUCCCCUCUGGCCUCCUCUGCUGGGUGUGGAUUUGUGGAGCUCUGGGGGGGUUUGGUGGGGUGCUCAACAAGCUGCCACUGGGACAGAGAGGUGUGCUCACUCCCAGUCACAGCAUCAGCCAGAUUAAAUACAGAGUCCGUUACUGCACCUAGUUUGGUAUAAUAGUUUUUCUGGUGUUUGAAUGUAAUUUCAAAACCUUCAGAUGAGUUGCUUCCUUCUCCGCUUCCAUCCACACCUUUGUCUUCUUCUGACACAGCUCUACUCCUGACUUCUGAUAAAUCAGUGCCUUCCCUGUCCUGCUCUUUGCCCUCACCUGAAUAAUUUUCUAGGUUGUCUUGUUGUAGGGGGUAGGCCAUGGUCAUUACCUCAAGGGACCCUGCUUUUGCUUCCAAUGGCUGCCAGGAAGAUUCUUGGACUACAUGGGCCACAUUUCUAGGAGAGUCUUGUUUGGAGUCAUCUAUGGACUUAGUGACCCACUGAAUGUGACUGCUGGGAGCAGUAGAUAAAUCAAAUCCUUCUCUGCGGCCCAGAAGACUUGAUAUAUUGUGAAGUUGAUUGGAUGAAAAACUGUCAAUCAGAGCUGAUGCAAAAUCUAUGGAAAACAGAGAGAAAAAGGUAAAAUUAGAUCAUAACACCCUUUUUGAGGGAAAAUUAUAUUAUGAUGGUUUUGAAUUUCUAGAUGUCAAUUGAAUUUGUC